GACGAACGCUGGCGGCGUGCCUAAUACAUGCAAGUCGAACGCAUUUUCUUUCACCGUAGCUUGCUACACCGAAAGAAAAUGAGUGGCGAACGGGUGAGUAACACGUGGGUAGCCUGCCCAUCAGCGGGGGAUAACACUUGGAAACAGGUGCUAAUACCGCAUAAUUCCAUUUACCGCAUGGUAGAUGGGUGAAAGGCGCUUUUGCGUCACUGAUGGAUGGACCCGCGGUGCAUUAGCUAGUUGGUGGGGUAACGGCCUACCAAGGCUGCGAUGCAUAGCCGACCUGAGAGGGUGAUCGGCCACACUGGGACUGAGACACGGCCCAGACUCCUACGGGAGGCAGCAGUAGGGAAUCUUCGGCAAUGGACGCAAGUCUGACCGAGCAACGCCGCGUGAGUGAAGAAGGUUUUCGGAUCGUAAAACUCUGUUGUUAGAGAAGAACUAGGAUGAGAGUGGAAAGUUCAUCCCUUGACGGUAGCUAACCAGAAAGCCACGGCUAACUACGUG
rnacentral:rRNA from 1 species